rnacentral:lncRNA from 10 species
CUAUACUCAAGCUAUCCUCCCUUACUUAGCCUCUCAAGUAACUGGUACUACAGGCAUUCUCCAUUACUCCCAGCUAAUUAAUUUUAUUUCUGUAGAGACAGGGUCUUACUAUGCUGCAUAGGCUGGUCUGAAAUUCCUGUGCUGAAAUGAUGGUGUGAGCCACUGCACCCAGCCUGUUUUUUAAGAAGUCAUUCUGCAUUCAAAAUGUGCAGCUAGCUCCCGUUCCCUACAGGUGAGGGAACAUGAAUCAUUGUCUGGGUUAUUCACUAGGAAUGUGUUCAUUCUGGCCCGCAUCUAUCAUUUACCUAGUUUAUUGUUCCAGUCACUCAUUCCAGGUUAUUUACUGACUACUUAUUAUUUUCUAGUGUCUAGUGUGCUAGACACUAGGGUUAUAAAAUAACUGAUGCUGUCCUUUAUGCACAAAAUUGCUAAUUCUAUUCCUGAAAAUUUUAUUAGUGACUUGUCUGACUGGGAAGUGACUGGUAGAUAUCAGUUGGCCCAUUGCAAAAUGAGGGGCUUGUAUUAACUGAUCUUCUAAUUUUAAAGCCUCUAAAAUGAAGGGAUGCAGGAGAUUUGACUUCUUGCCUUAAUCUAAUCAUUAAAUUGCUCAGUGCCUUUUAGUACAAUGUUCAGUCUCUAGAUCUCAGUCUCCUUCUCCUCUGUAAAAUAAAUGAAGGCCACUGCACCCAGCCAAGGAACUUUGUCAAUAGAUCUUUCUAGGAUAAGAGGGUUCUGUGUUCAAGGAGAUCUCAGAAAUGCUGGAGUCAAUAGGUUUCUUUACUCCAGGAUUUCUCAGAAACUUUACUGUGCCAAUUUUGCUUCAUGACUCUCCAAGUGGAAGACAGCAGAUACUGUUUCCCAAAUUUAUUUGACAAUGGAACCCUUUCCCCCAGAAGCAUCUUUGUCAUUCUAAUAAUGUCUUUCAGAAUACAUUUGGGAAAUGUGUUAUACAUGCCCUCUAAGACCCUUUACUGCAGCAAUUCUCUCUAUCCUUGGAUCAACUUCAUAUCAUAGGUAUCUGCUAGUUUAUGUUCUAAUAUAACUGUUGUGUGCACAGUAGUAUUUCCUGUUUCUCUUCAAGUUAUGCUUUCAUUGCCUUUGGACUUGGGCUACAGUCUCAUCAAUCCUGGGUACAUGGCCUGCAAAAUCAUACAUCUCAUUAGCACUUUGGACAAUAACAUCCAGAACAAAUGUACAGUCCAUUUUGCAGAGAAACAUUCCACAGAGCAGCACAGAGGGAGCUCUUUGGAGGAAAGAGAUGAAGCAAAUGAAUAUGAAGAACAACGGCAUUAAUAGGGCAGAUUUCCACAGAAACACAGAAAAAUAUAUUUGACAUUUUGAUGACUAUAUAACAUAGUCUUUUCUGUCACAGGACUGCUGUUCCCAACCAAGACUGUUAUGACCCAAAGUAACAGAGCUGAGUGGCUCCAUGCAGAAGUCUGUGUUCAACAUCUGUCAUGCUGGAGAUCAUUAAUGUUCAAUUGCUUCCUAUUGUCUUCAUGUCAUUCAACUUCAUUUCAUUGUCAUUGCUUCAGCUGGGGGAUUAAUCAACUAUUUAUGAGAAGACAGGACUUGGAGUCAGGGCGGUCACAAUGGGGUUAUAGUCUGAGCAAUGGUGGGGAAAGCAAGUCACGGUUAAAAGACUACUAGUUUGUGACAGUUUGUUGACAUUUUAAUAAACAUAUUUGAGAAUAAUGCUGACAUAUCCAUAUUUCAAAAGGAG